GACGAACGCUGGCGGCGUGCUUAACACAUGCAAGUCGAACGGAAAGGCCCUGCUUUUGUGGGGUGCUCUAGUGGCGAACGGGUGAGUAACACGUGAGUAACCUGCCCUUGACUUUGGGAUAACUUCAGGCAACUUGGUCUAAUACCGGAUAGGAGCUCCUGCUGUAUGGUGGGGGUUGGUAAGUUUCGGCGGUUGGGGAUGGACUCGCGGCUUAUCAGAUUGUUGGUGGGGUAGUGGCUUACCAUGGCUUUGACGGGUAGCCGGCCUGAGAGGGUGACCGGCCAAAUUGGGACGGAGAUACGGCCCAGACUACUACGGGAGGCAGCAGUGGGGAAGAUUGCACAAUGGGCGGAAGCCUGAUGCAGCAAAGCAGCGUGCGGGAUGACGGCAUUCGGGUUGUAAACCGCUUUCGCCUGUGACGAAGCGUGAGUGACGGUAAUGGGUAAAGAAGCACCGGCUAACUACGUG
rnacentral:rRNA from 1 species